UUCUACCUAGGAACUCCUAGAUAUGAGACCCCGUCCCAAUUCCCACCUUAACAACACAUACAGCGUUGUUAUUCAAUUCAACAAUCACAACAGGUGGAGACACACUCCUAAGAAACUAGGAUUCACUCUUGCUUAAAAGCUUGCGAGUAAACCACACAACACACUAGAACAAUCUCCGUACUACAAAGCUUAGGAGAAGUUCACACUUACAACUCAAUAAACUCAGGUCCUAAGCUUGCAUCAAUGAGACACAAGAAAGGCUCACAAUUAACACUCUAAAAUCCCUAAAAACACACGCUUUGUAAGACAAGAUUUUAGAUGCUUGAAACCAUNNNUUAGAUGCUUGAAACCAUAUGCUUGCCUUCGUAUUUAUAGCAGUAGAAUGACUUGGGCUUCAAGACAAAAUUAGGGCUUCUAGAAUUGCGGCAGCUGUGAUAUAUUUUUGAAAACA
rnacentral:lncRNA from 1 species